CGCAUCUGUGCAUGCAGCAUAUCAAUAAGCGGAGGAAAAGAAACUAACAAGGAUUCCCCUAGUAACGGCGAGUGAAGCGGGAAGAGCUCAAAUUUGAAAUCUUAAAGGGUUUCCCUUUACGAAUUGUAGUUUAGAGAAGUGUUUUCUGUUGAGGUUUUGGUAAAAGUUCUUUGGAAUAGGACAUCAUAGAGGGUGAGAAUCCCGUAUUUGACCUUUACUUUCAACUUUGUGAUACACUUUCAAAGAGUCGGAUUGUUUGGGAAUGCAGUCCAAAAUGGGUGGUAAAUUUCAUCUAAAGCUAAAUAUUGGCGAGAGACCGAUAGCGAACAAGUACCGUGAGGGAAAGAUGAAAAGAACUUUGAAAAGAGAGUUAAACAGUACGUGAAAUUGUCAAAAGGGAAGCGUUUGACACCAGUGUUGUUUUUCUGAAAAUCAAUUAAAGAACUGUUUAUGCUAAGCUGUUUAGACUUUAUCAGCUAACUGUUUAGUUUUGAGUUUUUCUUUAAUGCACUUUUCAGUUAACAAGUCAACAUCAAUUUCUUUUGCUGUAAAAAAGCUUGAGGAAGGUGGCUUGAGAUUCGUCUUAAGUGUUUAUAGCCUCUUGCCUAUGCAGUCGGAGAGAUUGAGGUCUGCAGCGUAGAUCCUUCGGGGCUAAAUGCAUUUGUGCUAAGUUAUAGCAUUUUAUAGACAACUUGUUGACUAUGAUUUGUCUCGUAGCUUACUCGCUUAUGUUAUUUUACCUACGCUUAGGAUGUUGAGUCGUAGAGCACGCAG
rnacentral:rRNA from 1 species